rnacentral:rRNA from 1 species
AGAUAGCUGGUUCUCCCCGAAAGCUAUUUAGGUAGCGCCUCGUGAAUUCAUCUCCGGGGGUAGAGCACUGUUUCGGCUAGGGGGCCAUCCCGGCUUACCAACCCGAUGCAAACUGCGAAUACCGGAGAAUGUUAUCACGGGAGACACACGGCGGGUGCUAACGUCCGUCGUGAAGAGGGAAACAACCCAGACCGCCAGCUAAGGUCCCAAAGUCAUGGUUAAGUGGGAAACGAUGUGGGAAGGCCCAGACAGCCAGGAUGUUGGCUUAGAAGCAGCCAUCAUUUAAAGAAAGCGUAAUAGCUCACUGGUCGAGUCGGCCUGCGCGGAAGAUGUAACGGGGCUAAACCAUGCACCGAAGCUGCGGCAGCGACGCUUAUGCGUUGUUGGGUAGGGGAGCGUUCUGUAAGCCUGUGAAGGUGUGUCGUGAGGCAUGCUGGAGGUAUCAGAAGUGCGAAUGCUGACAUAAGUAACGAUAAAGCGGGUGAAAAGCCCGCUCGCCGGAAGACCAAGGGUUCCUGUCCAACGUUAAUCGGGGCAGGGUGAGUCGACCCCUAAGGCGAGGCCGAAAGGCGUAGUCGAUGGGAAACGGGUUAAUAUUCCCGUACUUGGUGUUACUGCGAAGGGGGGACGGAGAAGGCUAUGUUGGCCGGGCGACGGUUGUCCCGGUUUAAGCGUGUAGGUGUGUGUUCCAGGUAAAUCCGGUUCACUUUAACACUGAGGCGUGAUGACGAGGCACUACGGUGCUGAAGCAACAAAUGCCCUGCUUCCAGGAAAAGCCUCUAAGCAUCAGGUAACAUCAAAUCGUACCCCAAACCGACACAGGUGGUCAGGUAGAGAAUACCAAGGCGCUUGAGAGAACUCGGGUGAAGGAACUAGGCAAAAUGGUGCCGUAACUUCGGGAGAAGGCACGCUGACAC